rnacentral:rRNA from 1 species
AUUGAACGCUGGCGGCAUGCCUUACACAUGCAAGUCGAACGGCAGCACGGGUGCUUGCACCUGGUGGCGAGUGGCGAACGGGUGAGUAAUACAUCGGAACAUGUCCUGUAGUGGGGGAUAGCCCGGCGAAAGCCGGAUUAAUACCGCAUACGAUCUACGGAUGACAGCGGGGGACCUUCGGGCCUCGCGCUAUAGGGUUGGCCGAUGGCUGAUUAGCUAGUUGGUGGGGUAAAGGCCUACCAAGGCGACGAUCAGUAGAUGGUCUGAGAGGACGACCAGCCACACUGGGACUGAGACACGGCCCAGACUCCUACGGGAGGCAGCAGUGGGGAAUUUUGGACAAUGGGCGAAAGCCUGAUCCAGCAAUGCCGCGUGUGUGAAGAAGGCCUUCGGGUUGUAAAGCACUUUUGUCCGGAAAGAAAUACUUGGCUCUAAUACAGUCGGGGGAUGACGGUACCGGAAGAAUAAGCACCGGCUAACUACGUG